rnacentral:rRNA from 1 species
AUCUAUUUACUGUGAACUGUAUUAUUAUUUGACAUUUGAGGGAUGUUCCAAUGUUAUAAGGAUAGACAUUGGAAAUGUUAACCGAGUCAUAAUCAGGUUUAGGCCUGGUAUCCUAUUAUUAUUUACCAAAUGAAUUCAGAAUUAAUAUUGUAACAUAGACCUAAAAAAUCUAUAAAACAACUUUUAACAACGGAUCUCUUGGUUCUCGCAUCGAUGAAGAACGUAGCAAAGUGCGAUAACUAGUGUGAAUUGCAUAUUCAGUGAAUCAUCGAGUCUUUGAACGCAACUUGCGCUCAUUGGUAUUCCAAUGAGCACGCCUGUUUCAGUAUCAAAACAAACCCUCUAUCCAACUUUUGUUGUAUAGGAUUAUUGGGGGCCUCUCGAUCUGUAUAGAUCUUGAAAUCCCUGAAAUUUACUAAGGCCUGAACUUGUUUAAAUGCCUGAACUUUUUUUUAAUAUAAAGGAAAGCUCUUGUAAUUGACUUUGAUGGGGCCUCCCAAAUAAAUCUCUUUUAAAUUUGAUCUGAAAUCAGGCGGGAUUACCCGCUGAACUUAAGCAUAUCAAUAAGCCG